rnacentral:lncRNA from 1 species
UAAUUUUAAAAGUUAAACUAACACAAAAACAAACUAAAUUAUACUAAAGCUAAUGAAUAAUCACAAACGUAACUAUCCAAACAGUCCAUUACAAAUCAGAUUAAUUGCAUCGGGAUACAACAAGACGAUAAAAAAGUCUGAAUCACCAUAAAACUCAUGUGUCGAAUUUCAUUUCAUUUUUUCUCAACUUGAGAUCUACAUUGGAAGAGAUUCAGGGAGUGUACUUGGAAGUUGAAAUAUAAUAAGUAGAAGGAGAGAUCAGCAGCAAUAGUGAACAAAUAGCAGUGUUAAACAGCUGAGAAUCGAGCAACAGCAGGAGCAGUUUAGAACCAAAACAACAUCAAAACCCAAAAGUAAAACUAGAAACUAACACAUUCAGUAAAUAGCCAAACAACUAACUUGAACAGAUCAGAUUUAACUCGAAAUUGACUCCAGAAAACUUUAAAACUCAACUACUGAGAACCUGGAAAUCUCAGGCCAUUUUUGGAUCUUAGAUAGGCUAGAAAUUUGAGUUAAGAGCUGGAAAUUUAAAUUGUUGUGAGGAAAACUUCAAUGAAAUAGUAUUUUUGGAGUUUUUUUGUUACUAUAUUUUUUGGUUUUUGAAGAUUCAAAAUCUGGAAGGAACUCUCAAAUCUUAUAUUUCAGUUUUUCUUUUUCUUUUUUUUUUCUAAUUUUUGAAAUUCAAAUUUCAUAUCUCCAACCUCUAAGAAACUGAUUUGAAUUUUGAACUUUUUCAGAUUUUUUGGAUUUCUAAAGCUUCUGAAGGAAGGCAGUAUAG